AUUGAACGCCGGCGGCAGGCCUAACACAUGCAAGUCGAACGAGUGGCUAACGGGUGAGUAACACGUGGGUGACCUGCCCUGCACUUCGGGAUAAGCCUGGGAAACUGGGUCUAAUACCGGAUAGUGUGGGAUGGGCCCGCGGCCUAUCGGCUUGUGGGUGGGGUAAUGGCUACCAAGGCGCGACGGGUAGCCGGCCUGAGAGGGUGGACGGCCACAGUGGGACGGAGACACGACCGAGACUCCGGCGGGAGGCAGCAGUGGGGAAUAUUGCACAAUGGGCGGAGGCCUGAUGCAGCGACGCCGCGUGGAGGAUGACGGCCUUCGGGUUGUAAACUCCUGUCAGCGGGGAGGCGUUACCCGCAGAAGAAGCACCGGCUAACUCCGUGCCAGCAGCCGCGGAAAUAC
rnacentral:rRNA from 1 species